GACGAACGCUGGCGGCGUGCUUAACACAUGCAAGUCGAACGGUAAGGCCCUUCGGGGUACACGAGUGGCGAACGGGUGAGUAACACGUGGGUGAUCUGCCCUGCACUUCGGGAUAAGCCUGGGAAACUGGGUCUAAUACCGGAUAGGACCACUGCCUGCAUGGGUGGUGGUGGAAAGCUUUUGCGGUGUGGGAUGGGCCCGCGGCCUAUCAGCUCGUUGGUGGGGUGUUGGCCUACCAAGGCGACGACGGGUAGCCGGCCUGAGAGGGGGACCGGCCACACUGGGACUGAGGUACGGCCCAGCCUCCUACGGGAGGCAGCAGUGGGGAGUAUUGCACAAUGGGCGCAAGCCUGAUGCAGCGACGCCGCGUGAGGGAUGACGGCCUUCGGGUUGUAAACCUCUUUCAGCACCGACGAAGCGCAAGUGACGGUAGGUGCAGAAGAAGGACCGGCCAACUACGUGCCAGCAGCCGCCGUAA
rnacentral:rRNA from 1 species